CUUCACUUCUGCAAACAGUCCCCUCGAGAGACAAGCCUAUUAUAUUUUUAUAGGGCUGGUUAAUUUUAAUGUGGUAAUUUCUCUCUGAAAAAUGAGCUCAGUCAUUCACUUGAACUUCAAACAGUCUGCUGAUAAUACUCGAGAUAACAGUGGAGUCUCUCUUGCACCCCUUACGAGCAGACUCUUCCUCCCAAUGAAAAGCCUGCGGAGAGCACGGGGAGUAUCCAAAAAUCCCCCUACCCCGACCAGCAAGGGCCCCGUGCAUGUGGCUCAGACACUCAAGCCCUCAUCUGGCAGCCGCACCUCUCACCAAUAACAAGGAUCAACAACCAACCUCAGCCCAGCCUCCCAUCACAUGAGCUUUGAGAGGCACAUGCAAGCUGUGUCUCGAUGCCGCACUCAGAUACCAUGGUGAUGUGUGUGGUAGGGAAACCUGGAGAACAAACCCAGAUGUUCAGAUCCUACAGUGGUUGGCACAGCGUAAGAACAGAAUACAAGGAAUCUGAAAAGCUCCCCUUGGCUUCGAUGGGGCCAGGAUGUCACCCCGGGACUUUGCUAACUGACAAAGGCCAGAUGAAGCCGGUAGGACUCGGCACUGGAGUAAUAGCCCAGAUUUAGCAGGGAAAGAGGAGGAAGCCUUCUGCAAUCCUGGUGGAGUCCCUGGUAGGACGGGACUGGGCUCAGAGCAAUAUUGUCCCAGCCACUGCUAUGUCAGUGUUUAUUGAAGGCUAUAGCUGGGCGACCCCAACAGGGAAAUGCUUUAAAACCCCUUUACUGGGGAGUCAGAGAAUCCACUGGAGCAAUGAACAGCAGAUGAACCUAGCAGCUGCAGCUCUCGGCAUUUCCAGUCAUGUCAUCAGUGCAGAGCAAAGGCUUGGUCUUGCUCCCAUUCCUCUCUCCUGUCUUAUGUCUCACCAGUAUUGGAUGUUCAUGGAAUAUGUAAGCCAAGCAGCUUCCCGUCUCCCACGGAGACACGGUGGGUUUCCCUAGCGAUGCGACUCCCCCAUGCCGCAGCUCUGCAGUUGCCUAGCAAUGUCGGAUUGCUGCAAGAGAGGACAGGCUGCUCUCCCGGUGAGCAGUGACCUUGGCAAGGUGCUGCAGAGCUCUCCUCGGCCUCUGGAAAUCAUUACUGGAGGAUUUCACACUCCACUACCCAGCCUUGCAGCUCAAGGGCUCUCUCGGGAUGUAUGUUCUCAUGGAAUCUCCGUCCCACUGCAAACAGCAAGGAGACCCUGCUCACAGGGAAACUACAUGACCACAUUAGCAAGACAUGAGGCAAAUUAUCAAAAGUGCCUAAGUCCCAUUGAAAGUCAAGGAGACUUGGCCCCUUAGUGGCUAAAGCCACAGGCAUUUAGGCACCUAACUCCCAUUGAUUUCAUUCAAAGUGAGGAGCCUAAAUACCUUCGAGCAUCUGGGCCAAAGUAAUUUAAGCUGGUAAGGUGCUUUUGAAAAUGUUACCCACAAUGUUUAAGAUGCCAACUUGCUGUGGUACUUGUGGCUGACCUCUCUCUGCCUGACAUGGAGGAGGCCCAGGUGAGCAGGGUGCAGAACUGAGUCUGGGGACCCUCCCCGCUGCCUUUCCAGCUUUUUAAACAUUUUACUUUUUGCUUGCCUCUGGACCUAGCACAUGUUUACAACUGUAACUGUGGCUUAAUGGAGUUCUCAGUCUGGGAUCAUGUAGUAUCAUCUGCCCAGUUAAUAAAGUGCUUGAAUCCCUCUCAGAUUGAAUGAAUAAACUCUGAAUGUUUUCUUAGGGAGACAUCCCCCCUUACUGAAAGUGACUGAAUGGAGCCAGCAGCAGCCCGAUUUAUGGAUGAAGACGCGGGGAACCACUCAAGCCUUUUCUUCUUGAAGUGCAAAAACCAGUUCCCCACUCUGGGCUGAUGAUAAUGACUUACAUGGAGGGAGGCUGAACUUGGCAGAUGCUUCAGUAAAGAAUGGGGCUUUGUUGGAAACAGAAGUUAAAGUUUCACACAGUCAGUGAAUAGAGCAUUCCAGGAGACCGAGGCCUGAACUGAGCUGAGACUCCUGAGCAGUUCUAAGAGAUGAUGUAAUAGUGGGCUAGAAUCUGGCUUGCCUGCCACAUACCUAAUUUUCCCAUAUAAGGCCAAACAGAGCAAUAGGCUCUGGCAAGCAAAUCAAUAAAAACAGAUGGUGGGCUUCUAAUCAGAGAUUAGGCGCAUACCGAUCCAGGACAAAAAGACCAUCAAUCAGACGGGAAGGAGGGAUGAAACCCACAAGAGGGGACCGUAGCUACACACAGCACAUGGAUCCUUCGGAUUUCUUGGCAUUCACAGCACUGCCAAACCCACCCGGUCCCAGCCCCAGCCUGGCCUGCAGCCCUGUCUACACACAGAUCUGAGUUUGUUGCUCAGCUGCUUUGCUCUUAAAAGGGGGCACUCCUUGCCUCACUUCCCUGCACAUCCCUGACAGCCAGGGCAAGGGCAGCGGGGCUCCGGUAUCCUGAGGCUGUGUGACCCAGGCACUCUGCUUUAUACCUAUAUAUGGAGAGAAUUACAGUACUUGACAUGGGGAUUUCUAUGGGUGUUUGCCGUGUUUACUCUAGUAUCUUGGCAUAAAUUAAUUUGUUCUAAUAUCCUGGCACAAAGGCAUGUGCAUUAGCUUUUGAGUCCCUCCAGGAACCUUCGAGUACCGUCUUGGGCAAAGCAGCUCAUUAAAAGCUACUGAUUGUUGGAGUCAAUUAUGACAUUAACUUGUCAAGGUAAAUUGGCUCUUUUCCUGCCUUCUUUUUCCAUUGUUAAGAGGUUGUCAUGCUGGCAGCCCUGGAAAUUGGAGUUAUUUGUCCUCCAAAGAGGUACAAUAUGGGCACUAAUGGAGGAGGGACUUGCCGCCUCUAAGGGUGAGGAAGAGUUUAUUUGCCAUGGUCCGUUCAAUUUCUUGGUGUCGGUGCUGAGAUUUCUAAGCCAGGUGGGAGUGGGCUCUUGUGAUGUGGACAUCUGUCCUUCUGGACUAGCAACACCCACACAUUGCAUGUUGGCCACCAGGCCCCCAUCAGACAGCGAUGACGCUAGAGCCCAACCCUGCAAAAUUCAGCGCUCUCAAAUCUGGAGCCCAGGACACACAGAAUAUACCAGGAGAUGCUCAGCACCACACAGAAUUGGAUCCUGAAUCACCGCUAGCUCAGAAUUAACCCACUGGGCCUGAUUCUCCCUUGCCUUGGAAUUUGUGCAGCCGUGACCCUGACACAGCGUGAGUGCGGGAUGUGCAGUGUGACCCCUGUGGUCCGAGUGAGUGGAGAAUACUGACCAUUUUACACCCACUUGGCACAGGGGUGUGUAGUAUGUGAGUUGUGAGGCAAUCAGGUCUGUUGAUCUUUGUGCUGAUCCUGAUGGCAAAUCCUGGUGAAAUGAGCAUGCCGGGCCACAUUCCCAGUGCUCUGUGCUGGCCCCAGGGCCCGUGGCACACUAUCCCUACCAGCGGGAGGAGAGAGGAAAUAUCUUGUUUGAUGAUUGCAUCCUGUGUUUCUAGAGGGCUUGCUAUCUAUGACAAUCCAGAUGUUUCCUGUCUCCCCACAGCUGGGAGCAGCUAUUUGCUGACUGGCUGGAAGUACUUCCUAAUCCUAAUGUGUCGGUGGGGAUUUCCCUAUGGAAUCUGAGGGAAAUUAACUUCCAGGCAGAUUCUCUUCCCAAAGCCCUGAUGACCAUUUCCCCCUCUCCCUGAGGAUGAGUGCCGUGUGAAGGUCAUGUAGCCCAGCACCUCUGGGCGGGGGUGGAGCCUGGGGCCUCUAGUUUUGAAAGCACAAACCUCUACUGUCUGAGCUGCAAGAUCCAGUUCCAUUAGGAGAGGCUGUAGCCAGCUGAUCAACCUGUCUGUGACCCAGCCGCCACUAGCAGGGACAGAGUGCCGCACUGAGUGGGUCCCAGUUAUUAAGCUGUGAGGGCCCCACGGGUUCACAUCCAGUGGAUUCAGAAUGCUUGGAUAUGAUCAAAUCAGCUUUGCUGGGAUGCUGGCACCUCCAAUGCCAGUGUGGCUGGAGGCUUCCUGGUUUGUGAAUGAGCCAUUUCCUGUGAGCGGAUGCUACCCUAGGCCAUGACCCCUUGCAUUUCAUUCGGUGCCUGACCUCAGGUCUAGCUGGUUUAGUAAAAAGAAGAACAGGAGUACUUGUGGCACCUUAGAGACUAACAAAUUUAUUAGAGCAUAAGCUUUCGUGGACUACAGCCCACUUCUUAGUAAGGAGUUUGGACACCAGAGCGACAAAAGGAUCCAGAAUUUAUAAACAAAAAGGCAAGAGGUGUGGGCCUAGAUUUACUGAACCUGGCACAGGAGGUAGAGAGCAGCCAAGUGAGGCACUGACCAUUAGAUGCUACCAGAGGAGCCAUAACAGACACCUCCAAGGCUUUACCCGCUUCUCCUCUUCCUUACACCGGUAAAAGAAGUGGUUCUUGUAGUGCAAAGGGGUGGUAAAGGUGCCCAAACCAAGCAGCUGAAGAUUGCCCCAGUGGCAUGUCAGAGGGUGUGGCUAGGGGCCAGAGGGCUGCUCUGCUCCAGUGAUUCCUGGCAGGUGGAAAGGCCCUGUGGGCGCUGUUACUAGCCUGCAUAAAUUAGUGCAGCCCCAAGAGAUGCCCCCUAUAACUCAAAUUCAUGCCCAUCAGACUUGUAUGCUGCAGCUCGCAGUCUGUGUGUGUACGUCCGAAUGUUAGGCAUGGCACUGUGCUGCUCUGGUACACUGGCUGUGUGCCUGCCUCACAUAUUCACAUGGACCAGGGGGCGGCUGUGCUGCUCUCCUGACCUAAGCAGCUUGCCACCUGCAGCCAGGAGGGACAGCGUGGGGAGGUCAAGAGGACAACUGGCAUCUCUGGGUGCUCUGUACCUGCAGCGACCUCAGGGGCUCUGUGCAGGGCCAGCUCCAGGCACCAGCUUACCAAGCAGGUGCUUGGGGCGGCCACUUCAGAGAGGGGUGGCA